AGGAACUGAAACAGGUGGAGGAUCACCAAAAGUGCUAUGUGCCGGGGUAGCUGGGCCAUGCUUGGAAUUGAAGUACUCAAUCUUGGCGUGAACUGCUGCCUGCUUCAUUAGCUCCUCAUAUGGGUUCCAAGGGUUACUAUGAACCAAGUAGCGGAAGUUGGACUUACGGAGGCCACUCUUAAAGGCACCGAAGGGAGCGCGGUCAUCAGUCUCUGGGCAGCAUGAGUAUUCAUGGCUGAAUCGGGCUACAUACUCCUGAAGGGGCUCGUCC
rnacentral:lncRNA from 1 species